rnacentral:rRNA from 1 species
CUACGGGUUGCACCAGUGGGGAAUAUUGGACAAUGGGGGAAACCCUGAUCCAGCAAUGCCGCGUGGAGGAUGACGCAUUUCGGUGUGUAAACUCCUUUUAUAUGUCAAGAAAAUGACGGUAGCAUAUGAAUAAGCACCGGCUAACUCCGUGCCAGCAGCCGCGGUAAUACGGAGGGUGCAAGCGUUACUCGGAAUCACUGGGCGUAAAGGACGCGUAGGCGGGUUGGAAAGUCAGGUGUGAAAUCCUACAGCUUAACUGUAGAACUGCACUUGAAACUUCUAAUCUAGAGUAUGGGAGGGGGAGAUGGAAUUAGGGGUGUAGGGGUAAAAUCCGUAGAUAUCACUAGGAAUACCUAAAGCGAAGGCGACCUCCUGGAACAUUACUGACGCUAAGGCGUGAAAGCGUGGGGAGCAAACAGGAUUAGAUACCCCCGUAGUC